UUAAUUUUAUCUUUUUUAGGAUUUAUUAAAAAUAAAAUGUUACAAAUUGUAUGUAAACUUCUUGUAAACUUCUUUUACAUUAUGAUAUGGCAAAGUGCAUUUGCAUAAUAUACAUACAUGGCAUAAAGAUAUAAUUUUAAUAAUAACGAUUAUCUUUUUUUAAAUUCUUUUUAUAAAAAGAAAGAACUUAAAUUCAACUAUAAGUUUAUUAAUUGAAAGUUCUCAAUAGCGUGGGCAUCAAAGAAUUUAAUCUGCCGUUUUUAUGAAGAACUUCCAUGAAACGCGAUACAGACAUGCCUCGAAACAAGAUGAGAUCUGUCAUUAACGAGGAGUCUUUCUUUCUCAGUAAAAGUGUUCACUCGGUGAGAGGCUGCGGGCGUACAAGCGGUAUCAUAAAGGACUUGUCGCCGGAAAGUCCCACGCGUCUCGCCAACCGUCGUGGGGAAGACGACGGCGCCAGAUUCGAGAGUAGACAAGAGAGUAGACGGAGAAAGGAAAAAGAAUCUGCUACGACGCAGAAAAUGAAAAGUUACACAUAUUUAUAUACGAAUAGGAUAUAACGAACGAUAUUUUCAAUUUAUCAAAAUGAUAAAAUUUUCCAAAACAUUAAGCAAUACUAUAAUUUAAAUAGACACAAAAAUAAGAUUUUUUUCGGAUAAAAAAUAGAUCUUUUUGAUUUUAAGAUACCAUAAUGGAAACAAAGCAUAAGAAAAAAAAAUUAAUUCAUUACAAUAAAAUGAAAAAUAGUUUCAUGAUAUCUUUCUUAAUGACCAAUAUCAAUUUAUUUUUUAUUCAUAGAAGAAAUAAAAAUUAUUGCAAAGAACAUAUCGGGUGUUAAUAUUCGAUUUAGCCAACAUAAAAAUUUACUAAAUCAUAAAUUAUUCAACUAGUAUCUUUUCUUCGUUUUUAACUGAUGAUUAAUAACACCGGUCAACAUUCAUAAGAUAUAGAGUAUUCUGGGGCAGAUAAAACGUAUUACAGGUGGACUUGAUUGGCGCCAUUUUAUCAGACAGUCUUAAAAAGAAACAUCGAAAACGCUUUUAAAUAUGCAAAACACAGGCGGAGGAUAAACGGCUUGACCAAUAAAUCGAUCGUAACUUUUUGCUAUAAUUAACGUGUCGCCACGACAUUGGCGUCCGAACCUACCCUAACCUGUUCCCGAUCAAAACGUGUUUACGCCAUCUUUCAACGGAUUCGCGAACUUCAACUUAUUGCUAACUUCUCAGCAGUAGAUAAUAUUUCGCAUAAUUGUUAUUGCACAAUUUCAAUUGAAUUUAACAAUUUUCCAUCAUUUCGAAAGAAAUUUGAAUUACCAAUAUUUAAUGAAGUAAGAAUUUAUGCAAGACGAUAAAAAGCAAAUGAAAUUUUAAAAACGAAGGAAGAUAACGAAAGAUGGUAGACCAUGUCGAGUUCGAGAAACUGGUCAUUUCGCGCGGAGGCUGAAUUUAGAGGUUAAGAGUCAGGAAGAAGAGAGGCGGUGGAACACGGGUGUGUCGAAGAGUACGUUCUAGCGUGGCUGUGCGCAAGGGGAAAGAGACAGAGCGGGGCCCCUGCUUCUACCAGAUAAAAAUAGAUAUUACGAGUUUACCGCGGCGCCAAGAUUGCGGGGUAUCGCGACGAUUACGUCAUCGGUAGUAGCGCGAGUGGUUGGAGCAAGGACGCUUGUCGCGUCGGUCGCCGCCGCCGUCGCCGUCGUCGUCGUGGUCGUCGUCGUUGUCGUGACGAACCACGAAUUUUCGUGUCUAUCUAUGAUCAUCCAUAACCAGCUUUUAGCCGUUUUCGACAAACUCGUAGCUCGCCCCAUUCAAUCAUGGCGUUUUGACUGCAAAUGGACACACGUGCCGCUAAAUAUACACGGUCAUUCUCAUCAAAUGUUAUUCAAUAAUAAAUAUUCGAUCAAAAUUUAUAGGUUAAAUGCUUUUAAGUAAAACUAAAGUAAUGAAUAAAGACAGCAAAGAUCUCUGUUUAAUUAAAUAGAUGAAUUGCUAUUUAGAAAAUUUUAUUAUUCAUAAAAUUUUAAUAUAACAUCCCAUUUUGAAAUUGUAUGCUGACAUGGAUGAUAUGGAAAUUAUAUAAAUUUAUUCGCGGAGGCAAAAGACUCUGAUGUCUGAAUAGAUCAGUUAUACUUGUUAUGCUAAUUACAAAUUAUAUUAUUGUUUUAUAAUAUAUACUCAAAGCUAACCAAAUAUAACAUGAUUGGCGUUUUGUCGAUUGUUUUACUAUAAAAUGGCAGAUUGUUUAUCAAAGCGUGUAAUAGAUUAAAAUAGAAUUCAUUUUCUUAAACGUGUUUAAAUUUUAUGAAAUCGC